AAAACGGGAAAAGUGGGGUUGUUCAAUUUACAAAUACUAAACAUGUUUGUUUAAUAUGAACAAAUUAUGUUUACCUUCGAAACAUAAUAUAAUCUUGAAAAUCACACAUAAUUUCUUGCUGUGUUACUUUUAUAUAUUUAAAUCAUGUUGACAAAACAUGAAAUAGUUAUGCUUGAUCCUUUGCCCCUUAAUUUUGGAUAAGUAAACCCCAUCGGUGAAGAAGCAUUCCAGGAGGAGAAACAUUGCAGUCAGCCAUUUUAGAGAAGCUGCAAGCACCUGCUGGCCGGAGGAGCUUAAAAAAGAUUCCCCCUAUUUGAUAAAUUAAUAUGGUGUGACGGGGUCCCGCCGAGAAAGGAUGCAGAGGAGCCAAGUGCUCCUCACACAACACUUCCAACUGCUCCUCCCUGAUCAUGCUGGGGUCCAUGCUCCAGUCUUCACUGAGUCAGACUGCUGACCUUCUCGCCAAUAUAAGCAAGUUCAGAGGUUUAUUCAAAGUACAGAAUGAAGACCAUGCAGCACUCCAGGAGGCAAUCGAGGACACCACGGUGGGAAUUUCCCUCCUAAUGGAAAGUGGCGAGGAAGAGGACAUUCUCAUGGUCCACAUCUCCCAGGCUGUGGUGGUCGACCCACCAAGUGUCAAGAGUGGCAGUUGCCAAGGCUUUUUUGACCUUAUUUACAGCACAAAUCUGAUUACCAUCCUCAUCUCAGAAACACCUUUGAGGUAAUUCAAAGAAAAACUGUAAUAGAGUUGUAGGGCAAAGUUGUGUCUAAGGUUUCAGGCUUAAAGAGCCGACUCUUUUAAUAAAAAUGACCUUUAAAAAGUUUUUCCUAAGAAGGGAUUCCAGCUGUCUGCUUUGGCUCUGUUAUCUUCUGUUUAAUAAAAAUAGCAAGCCCAAUUUA